CAUGAACAGGUGGGGUCCCUCAGCCUGGCCUGCGCCCUCUCACAAUCCAGGAUCCCUCGGGGGAUGUUGGAGAGCUGGUUUCAGCCCAAUCCCCACAGGCCAGGCUGAGGGACUCCACCGGUGCAAG
rfam:Myotis lucifugus cont2.2006, whole genome shotgun sequence.